AGCCGGUUGGCCAAGUUGGUAAGGCCCUUGUUUUACAUACAAGAGAUCGGGAGUUCAAAUCUCUCACCGGCCA
rnacentral:tRNA from 1 species